UAUUCACGAAAUGUACUCAAAUUUGAAUUGAGUCAAUGCGAAUGACACCCUGUUUUCGGAAUAAUUCUCCACUAAACACACCAUGCCCAUGGCCCCUUCAUGUUGUCCAAGUUCCAUUCUAGGUUUGUGUGAAGUUUCGAGAUGAAGUUCGACGAUGUACUCACCUUUCCAUGGAAGGGAAAAAAAGUAGCAUAUCAAACAGAAUCCAUGCAGUAUUUGAUGCCACUAUCCUCAUUCUUCUGCAUUCAAAGUGUUUCACAUCUAUAUGGCCCAUGAACUGCAAACAAUAUUUGUCAUUUCUUAACUGUUCAUAGCUGUUCAUAACUGUUCUGAACACAUUGCCUUCAGGAAACGUAAGGCCGAGUCGCCUCACCGACUGAGCAAAGUUCUCUGCGACGAAAGUCACACUAUCGGCGAAUGCACUCAAGAGCUUCCGAGCCACGCCGAGUCACCUGACCAACUGAAGAAGGUUCUGUGCGACGAAAGUCACACUAUCGGCUAAUGCACUCAAGGUGAAUACCCUGUGGACUGCUUAUACCACUUAUCACAGAAGCACACACACACACACACACACACACACACACACACACACACACACACACACACACACACACACACACACACACACAAGCACAAAA